UAGAAACCUUUUGCUUGUUAUUGUCUUUUAUAUCUGGCUCUCAAAGUCAGUCAGUUACCUUUUGCUUGUUAUUAUCUUUUAUGUUAUAUACUGCUGAAAUUGUAUGAUUUUUAGUUGAAAGGAUUACACAUGACAUUGUCAUUGUUGUAAUUGUUAUUCCUCAAGAAACUAACAAGUGUGCUUACAAAUAUUUCGACUGGUUUCCUUGUGGUUCACUCUAUCAGAUAGACAAGAUAUCAUAACUAACAUUGCAUGGCCAGCUAAUAAAGUCAUAAUUAGCUAAGAAAAUGGACUCACAACAAAGACAAGUGCACAAAGGAUGAUGAAUUGAAGGAUGGAGCAAGUUUCAUGCAUAGUUUACUUUUGUGUAUCUUGUAAUGUUUUUGUUUUUUCAUUUUUGAAGUAAAAAUUGUUCAAGAUUAUAAAAUUUUAUUAUGUUAUGCUUUCAAACUUAAGUUAGAACUAAGAUCUCAUGAAGUAGACACAUUCAUGG